rnacentral:tRNA from 1 species
GCCCCGGUAGCUCAGCCUGGUUAGAGCGCUUCACUGGUAAUGAAGAGGUCCCGGGUUCGAAGCUCUAUUUUUGCAGAAUCUCCCGGCCGGGGCUCCA